UGACGGGAUCUUGUGGUGCUAUGAGCCAGA
rnacentral:piRNA from 1 species